GUACGUGCUGCGGCACGGGGCAGCACUUUAAACCUUGCUAUCAACCAAACAAGAAAUUACAAAAAGGAAAACAAAUUUUCUUUUUCUUUUCAUACAAACCAAACAACAAUAACUAGAAAACAACUUUUACUUUCCUUCUAACCAAACAUCACAAAUCAUAAAAUUAGUUUUCAGCGGAAGUCUUUUUCGUCAAAAAUAAGUUUUCAUACUUUUACGUAGAACCAAACACACCCUUAGCUCUCACACUUCCAAUAGGUCUCUGAUACCAAAUGUAACGACUCUCAAGCCCAAUCACAUAUAGCUCAAGAUUCCCUAGUAUGUGAAACUCAUCUCACACUUUCGGGUUUUGGCUAGCAACAAAGCUUUGAUACCAAAUAUAACAACAGCCCUCUAGCAUAAAAGCUAUCAAACAUGAUUUCUCGAAUCUAGAACCUAACAAUCGAGUGCAUACCUAGAAUCCUCCUUAAGUAUGAAAGGCCAAAUAUAAAAUUUCUCUAUCAAUUUUCAUGACAUAAAAGAUAAAUUUUUGAACUAAAAACUAAUUACCUUCUAUUAAUAGAAGUAAACAAAUAUUCUCCAAACUAAAACAAUGUGUCCCAAAAUAAAAUAAGUUGUCCAAAUAGUUAAAUAGCAAAUUGGUUAAAGUUCUCUAGGUCCUUUCAAUGCUGUAAAUAGCGGAUUGUGGGUACAUAGUGUUUGGGAGGUAUCAAAGCGGAUAGCGGAUAAUAGGCACAAUGACGAUCGCUAUGAACCCAUAGCGGGAUUUAUAAUAAGUUAGUUAAAUGCUUUUAUUCCUAACUACAUUUGUAUUUAAAAUAACAACAAUCACAUACUAGUUCAAAUAUAAAAGCAUAACACUCUUAAUUUCUCUACAUUUAUAUUCUAAAUAGUGUUUCUACUUAGCAUAGUGAUCCUUUGUAACACCGGUAAUGCUUAACGGCCACUGAUAAACCAGUGUUGUCACCAUAUUGCCUUUCUUCGCAAGAAUAAAAUUAUGAUUUUCUGAUUCGUUUCUCCUAAGAAACAUGAUUGAACAAUUUCUCCAAUUUCCACUAAAUACUUUAUUUCUUCUAUUAGGACAAUUUCUUAUAAUUUUGCGGAUUAUAGGAUUAAACUAACCUAUCGGAUCUUUAAAAUUUUGAGAUCUAAAAAAAACUUGCUUUUUGUCCUACUAUGGCGGCCCAUACAAACCAUUAUAGCCGUAGCUGCCGCUAUUUAGAACAUAGGUCCUUUAACUAAUGUUGCAUCCAAUCCCACGACUACUACUAAUGCUUCCCUCCUAAAACCAUUAAAUAACUCUUUAUGAGCAAAUGCCCAACAAGAUUUACAACAAACAAAAAUAACAAAGGAUAUUACCAUAAAUAUAACCACAUAUAACCAUAGCAUAUCCAUAAAUUUCAUAUUCACGUUCUCUUUAUUAUUUUUGCACGUUAGUUUCCAUUCCCAAAGCUUCAUUGUCAAAGCAAAUUAAUUCCAAUUCUCGAGGCUCCUGUGACCAUCCUAUAGCAACCUCCUGACCCAAAGUUGCGCAUACACUUUGCAAAGGUUCCAACUCCCGAUGGAGAAAUAAUUCUCAUUGCGCAUACCCUCUACAGAGUUCUUAAAGGCCCAACAUAGGCCAGCUUCCACUCCUAGAAGCAACAUAAUUAAUAAUUAAAUAUCAUGCAUUCAUAGUUUUUCACAAUUAUCCCCAAGUUUAUAAUCAAGAUUCACAUUUCCAGAUCGAUAUCACAAAUUCAAAGAAAAUUUACAUAUUCGUAAUAUUCUUAGAAAUCAUGCCAAACCAAUAUAUUAGCAUGUCAUGUACGAGAGAAACUAACAAAAGCAAAUAACUUGUAAUCAUUAUUCCAAUAUAUCAUGCAAAGAAGAUCUCUAAGUCCCAAGUAAUAAGGGUCUACUUGCCUCCUAGAAGUUGAUAAAACUAUAAAGUUGCUUGUUUACUGGCCCUCACUUGUCCUAGCACCUAAAUUGGAAUUAAUUUUCCAUCAUUACAAACUUUAGAAUAAUUUUCCUUCUUAACAGUUUUGUUCUAGAAAUCCGGCAAUUAAUAUGAUUCUAAUUUGAGAAAACAAACACCAUGGUCCUGUUCGAAUUUUUGAGACAAAAGCGUAGACAUCUUGCCAACUCAAAUUCGAACUAUAACAAAAAAGUAAUAGUCAAACUACAGUUCAGCCCCUAGAAUAAUACUGCAUAUUAGCAAAUGAGUCCCACCAGCAAGGAUUUAAGGCCAUGGCACGGGGUCGUGCCGGAAACUUGCCGGCACGGUACGGCACAAUGCAUGCCCGGCCAUGCCGAUUAGUGCCGCUCACAAAAAAUAUAUGUGUGCUGACACGUAAUGGCAUGAAAUAUUUAUUGUUUUUAGUAACAAAAUAUGUCAAUUAUUUAUUAUGUAUUUUUAUCAAAUCUUUUGCACUUUAUUGAGAAAAUUACUUACUAAUUUCAAGAAUAAAGGAUUUUGAGUUGUGCCAUUGGUACAGGAACUUUAUCGUACCGAUAUCUUGCUGGUAUGAUACAGCACGGUGGAUACGGCCCGUGUCGAUAGGCAAUUUAAUCCUUGCCCACCAACCAUAUAAGACCUUCUAGCCCCUCUACUUGGUCCAGAAAAGGCCCAUUAGAUCCCUCUCAAAUCAGGCCAUUUUAGGCCUAUACAAAGCCAUUCUAGAGUGGGUUUUGGACUCAAAAGUAGGCCUAACCCCAGACUUUUUCCUUCUAUCUUUUCCUUUCUCUUUCCCUUUCCCCUUUCCCUUUCCUUUUCUUUUUCUUUCCCUCCUAACCGACCAUGGCCAACCAU
rnacentral:lncRNA from 1 species